GAUAAACGCUGGCGGCAUGCCUAACACAUGCAAGUCGAACGGGGUUUAUGUAACGGAACUCUCCGGAGGGAAGAUAUAUAAACCUAGUGGCGGACGGGUGAGUAACGCGUGGGAAACCUGCCCUGUACCGGGGGAUAACAGCCAGAAAUGGCUGCUAAUACCGCAUAACCCUGCGGUGCCGCAUGGCACUGCAGGUAAAACUCCGGUGGUACAGGAUGGUCCCGCGUCUGAUUAGUUUGUUGGCGGGGUAACGGCCCACCAAGGCGACGAUCAGUAGCCGGCUUGAGAGAGCGGACGGCCACAUUGGGACUGAGACACGGCCCAG
rnacentral:rRNA from 1 species